GUGAGUCAUCGAAUCUUUGAACGCACCUUGCGCUCCUUGGUAUUCCGAGGAGCACGCCUGUUCGAGUGUCAUGAAGCUCUCAAGCGAGUCUUUUUAUUAAGACGAGUUUGGAUUUGAACUCUGCCGUGUAACAAACGGCUGGUUCUAAAAGUAUUAGCUGAUCCUAGUAAGGUUUUGGUUCUUACUUGACGUGAUAAUUAUCUAACGUCAAGGACAUUUCUUACUUCACAGUAAGAGAUGGCCAGAGUCUUGGUAAGGAUUGCUUCUAAUCGUCUUCGCUUGACAACAUUUUCAUAAUCU
rnacentral:misc_RNA from 1 species